AGUGAACGCUGGCGGUAGGCCUAACACAUGCAAGUCGAACGGCAGCACAGUAAGAGCUUGCUCUUACGGGUGGCGAGUGGCGGACGGGUGAGGAAUACAUCGGAAUCUACUUUUUCGUGGGGGAUAACGUAGGGAAACUUACGCUAAUACCGCAUACGACCUACGGGUGAAAGCAGGGGAUCUUCGGACCUUGCGCGAUUGAAUGAGCCGAUGUCGGAUUAGCUAGUUGGCGGGGUAAAGGCCCACCAAGGCGACGAUCCGUAGCUGGUCUGAGAGGAUGGUCAGCCACACGGGAACUGAGACACGGUCCAGACUCCUACGGGAGGCAGCAGUGGGGAAUAUUGGACAAUGGGCGCAAGCCUGAUCCAGCCAUACCGCGUGGGUGAAGAAGGCCUUCGGGUUGUAAAGCCCUUUUGUUGGGAAAGAAAAGCAGCAGGUUAAUACCCCGCUGUUCUGACGGUACCCAAAGAAUAAGCACCGGCUAACUUCGUG
rnacentral:rRNA from 1 species